rnacentral:rRNA from 1 species
GAUUGAACGCUGGCGGCAGGCCUAACACAUGCAAGUCGAACGGCAGCACAGAAGAGCUUGCUCUUUGGGUGGCGAGUGGCGAACUGGUGAGUAACACGUGGGAAACCUGCCCAGAAGCGGGGGAUAACACCUGGAAACAGAUGCUAAUACCGCAUAACAACUUGGACCGCAUGGUCCGAGCUUGAAAGAUGGCUUCGGCUAUCACUUUUGGAUGGUCCCGCGGCGUAUUAGCUAGAUGGUGGGGUAACGGCUCACCAUGGCAAUGAUACGUAGCCGACCUGAGAGGGUAAUCGGCCACAUUGGGACUGAGACACGGCCCAAACUCCUACGGGAGGCAGCAGUAGGGAAUCUUCCACAAUGGACGAAAGUCUGAUGGAGCAACGCCGCGUGAGUGAAGAAGGGUUUCGGCUCGUAAAACUCUGUUGUUAAAGAAGAACAUAUCUGAGAGUAACUGUUCAGGUAUUGACGGUAUUUAACCAGAAAGCCACGGCUAACUACGUGCCAGCAGCCGCGGUAAUACGUAGGUGGCAAGCGUUGUCCGGAUUUAUUGGGCGUAAAGCGAGCGCAGGCUGUUUUUUAAGUCUGAUGUGAAAAGCCUUCGGCUCAACCGAAGAAGUGCAUCGGGAAACUGGGGAAACUUGAGUGCAGAAAGAGGACAGGUGGGAACUCCAUGUGUAGCGGGUGAAAUGCGUAGAUAUAUGGGAAGAACACCAGUGGGCGAAGGCGGCUGUCUGGUCUGUAACUGACGCUGAGGCUCGAAAAGUAUGGGUAGCAAACAGGAUUAGAUACCCCUGGUAGUCCAUACCGUAAACGAUGAAUGCUAAGUGUUGGAGGGUUUCCGCCCUUCAGUGCUGCAGCUAACGCAUUAAGCAUUCCGCCUGAGGAGUACGGCCGCAAGGCUGAAACUCAAAGGAAUUGACGGGGGCCCGCACAAGCGGUGGAGCAUGUGGUUUAAUUCGAAGCUACGCGAAGAACCUUACCAGGUCUUGACAUACUAUGCAAAUCUAAGAGAUUAGACGUUCCCUUCGGGGACAUGGAUACAGGUGGUGCAUGGUUGUCGUCAGCUCGUGUCGUGAGAUGUUGGGUUAAGUCCCGCAACGAGCGCAACCCUUAUUAUCAGUUGCCAGCAUUAAGUUGGGCACUCUGGUGAGACUGCCGGUGACAAACCGGAGGAAGGUGGGGAUGACGUCAAAUCAUCAUGCCCCUUAUGACCUGGGCUACACACGUGCUACAAUGGAUGGUACAACGAGUUGCGAACUCGCGAGAGUAAGCUAAUCUCUUAAAGCCAUUCUCAGUUCGGAUUGUAGGCUGCAACUCGCCUACAUGAAGUCGGAAUCGCUAGUAAUCGCGGAUCAGCAUGCCGCGGUGAAUACGUUCCCGGGCCUUGUACACACCGC